CCUACGGGUGGCAGCAGUCGAGAAUCAUUCACAAUGGGGGAAACCCUGAUGGGGCGACGCCGCGUGGGGGAAUGAAGGUCUGCGGAUUGUAAACCCCUGUCAUGUGGGAGCAAAUUAAAAAGAUAGUACCACAAGAGGAAGAGACGGCGAACCCUGUGCCAGCAGCCGCGGUAAUACAGAGGCAUCAAGCGUUGUUCGGAAUCACUGGGCGUAAAGCGUGCGUAGGCUGUUUCGUAAGUCGGGUGUGAAAGGCGCGGGCUCACCCCGCGGACGGCACAUGAUACUGCGAGCCUAGAGUAAUGGAGGGGGAACCGGAAUUCUCGGUGUAGCCGU
rnacentral:rRNA from 1 species